UGCAAGUCGAGCGUGAAAGUUCCUUCGGGAAUGAGUAAAGCGGCGGACGGGUGAGUAAUACAUGGGUAAUCUUUGUCCGAGCUCGGGAUAACCCCGCGAAAGUGGGGCUAAUACCGGAUAAGACCACGUAACUCAGGUUACGUGGUAAAAGGCGGCUUUAUUUUCGGAUAGAGCUAUCACUUGGGAAUGAGCCCAUGUCCUAUCAGCUUGUUGGCGAGGUAAAAGCUCACCAAGGCUAUGACGGGUAGCUGGUCUAAGAGGACGGCCAGCCACACUGGGACUGAGACACGGCCCAGACUCCUACGGGAGGCAGCAGUGGGGAAUAUUGGGCAAUGGGCGAAAGCCUGACCCAGCGACGCCAUGUGGGUGAUGAAGGCCUUCGGGUUGUAAAGCCCUGUUAGGUGGGAAGAAGGGCUUUCGGGUGAAUAAUCCGGAAGUUUUGACGGUACUACCGAAGAAAGCACCGGCUAACUCCGUGCCAGCAGCCGCGGUAAUACGGAGGGUGCAAGCGUUGUUCGGAAUUACUGGGCGUAAAGGGCGUGUAGGCGGUUGUGUAAGUCAGACGUGAAAUCCUUCGGCUCAACUGAAGAACUGCGUCUGAAACUGCAUGACUAGAGUGCAGAAGAGGGAAACGGAAUUCCAGGUGUAGAGGUGAAAUUCGUAGAUAUCUGGAGGA
rnacentral:rRNA from 1 species